rnacentral:rRNA from 1 species
AACGAACGCUGGCGGCAUGCCUAACACAUGCAAGUCGAACGAGACCUUCGGGUCUAGUGGCGCACGGGUGCGUAACGCGUGGGAACCUGCCCUUAGGUUCGGAAUAACUCCCCGACAGGGGUGCUAAUACCGGAUAAUGUCUUCGGACCAAAGAUUUAUCGCCUUUGGAUGGGCCCGCGUUGGAUUAGCUAGUUGGUAGGGUAAAAGCCUACCAAGGCGACGAUCCAUAGCUGGUCUGAGAGGAUGAGCAGCCACACUGGGACUGAGACACGGCCCAGACUCCUACGGGAUGCAGCAGUGGGGAAUAUUGGACAAUGGGCGAAAGCCUGAUCCAGCAAUGCCGCGUGAGUGAUGAAGGCCUUAGGGUUGUAAAGCUCUUUUACCCGGGAUGAUAAUGACAGUACCGGGAGAAUAAGCUCCGGCUAACUCCGUG